UAACACAUGCAAGUCGAACGGGAUUACUCUAUUGAAACUUCGGUCGAUUUAAUUUAAUUCUAGUGGCGGACGGGUGAGUAACGCGUGGGUAACCUGCCUUAUACAGGGGGAUAACAGUCAGAAAUGGCUGCUAAUACCGCAUAAGCGCACAGAGCUGCAUGGCUCGGUGUGAAAAACUCCGGUGGUAUAAGAUGGACCCGCGUUGGAUUAGCUUGUUGGUGGGGUAACGGCCCACCAAGGCGACGAUCCAUAGCCGGCCUGAGAGGGUGAACGGCCACAUUGGGACUGAGACACGGCCCAGACUCCUACGGGAGGCAGCAGUGGGGAAUAUUGCACAAUGGGGGAAACCCUGAUGCAGCGACGCCGCGUGAAGGAAGAAGUAUCUCGGUAUGUAAACUUCUAUCAGCAGGGAAGAUAGUGACGGUACCUGACUAAGAAGCCCCGGCUAACUACGUGCCAGCAGCCGCGGUAAUACGUAGGGGGCAAGCGUUAUCCGGAUUUACUGGGUGUAAAGGGAGCGUAGACGGUGUGGCAAGUCUGAUGUGAAAGGCAUGGGCUCAACCUGUGGACUGCAUUGGAAACUGUCAUACUUGAGUGCCGGAGGGGUAAGCGGAAUUCCUAGUGUAGCGGUGAAAUGCGUAGAUAUUAGGAGGAACACCAGUGG
rnacentral:rRNA from 1 species